AACGAACGCUGGCGGCAGGCCUAACACAUGCAAGUCGAACGCUGUAGCAAUACAGAGUGGCGCACGGGUGCGUAACGCGUGGGAAUAUACCCUUUAGUGCGGAAUAACGUCUGGAAACGGACGCUAAUACCGCAUAAUGACUCCGGUCCAAAGAUUUAUCGCUAAAGGAUUAGCCCGCGUUAGAUUAGCUAGUUGGUGAGGUAACGGCUCACCAAGGCGACGAUCUAUAGCUGGCUGAGAGGAUGAUCAGCCACACUGGGACUGAGACACGGCCCAGACUCCUACGGGAGGCAGCAGUGAGGAA
rnacentral:rRNA from 1 species